AUGGGCGGCGGCGAAGACGUGAACGCGGCGGCCAAUGCGGCGGCGGCCUGCACGUCCUUGGGUGCCGGCGAGGCGGCGCGCGGGAGGACGUCGGCGAGCUCCGGGAAGUUGAGGUGCGCGGACCGGGCGCCCUUGAUGGCGAGCGCGGCGACGUCGUGCGCGCGCGCGGCCAUCUCGGCGGUGGGGAAGGUGCCGAGCCAGAUGCGCGACUUCUUGCGCGGCUCGCGGAUCUCCGACACCCACUUGCCCCACGCCCGCAUCCGCACACCGCGGUACACCGGGUGCUUCCCGUCGCUGCUCCGCUUGCUCUUCUUCUUCGUCGUCGUCGCCUUCCCCUCCUCCGUCUCCUCACGCCCUCCCUCUCCCUCGUCCAGCUGCCGCUUGCGCGGCGCCUCCUUCACGGCAUUGGCUGCGCUCGCCGGCGAGGAGGGGCACGACGAAGAGUCCGUGACGGUGGACGAGCACGACAUGGACGUGGAGCUGGUCGUAUACGACGACGUCGAUGACGACGAGGACGACGAGGUUUCUUGGAGCUCCCGAGCGGGCGCCAUGGCCGCGUGCAGUGGGCGCACGAAGAGGGAUGGAGAGUAUGGUUUCGCUGCAAGCGUGAGCUCUUGCCGCUCCGCCUUGGACUUGCGGUGGUGUGUGUCUGUUCGUAUCUGCAGUGGGGGGUUUAUAUGA
rnacentral:rRNA from 1 species